rnacentral:rRNA from 1 species
UACGUAGGGCGCGAGCGUUGUCCGGAUUUAUUGGGCGUAAAGAGCGUGUAGGCGGCCAGACAGGUCCGUUGUGAAAAUUCGAGGCUCAACCUCGAGACGCCGAUGGAAACCGUCUGGCUAGAGUCCGGAAGAGGAGAGUGGAAUUCCUGGUGUAGCGGUGAAAUGCGCAGAUAUCAGGAAGAACACCCGUGGCUAAGGCGGCUCUCUAGUACGGUACUGACGCUGAGACGCGAAAGCGUGGGGAGCGAACAGG